CACCGCACGAGACAGUCCUUUCUCUCGACCGUCGCGUACACGGUUGUAUGCGAUGAGCUCGGCGUGCUGCUCUUCCUGUCCAUCCACUACCAGCAUUCCCCCUGCUUCCCUGCCCUUAUCCUUACCUCCAUCGGCCUCCCGAGGCUGUAGAAUGUUAAGUGUAGCAAUGAGGAGCCAGGCCUCUCCGCCCGCCGGGGCCGAGGUCCAGAGGGGCACAUGGGCCGCCUGCGCAGAGGAGGGCUGCGCCCUUCCCCCCCACCCUCGGCCCGCGCAGCCUGGCGCUCUAGUAUGACGGCUGCUGCAGUCAAAAAGGAGCCCAAAGUGACAGUUUUCCUUGACGGUCGCCGUUCUGUUUGCUGUAACUGAUCUGCAACAUUUUGGGAAACGACAGUUUCGAUUGUACCUGCUGUUUCUCAGCUGUUCCAGGUGAAGAUUGCUGGAUGGCUCAGAUUGCUUUCUGGUGAGUGAGGACCCGAGCCAUGGCAGUGAUGGACAUAACCACCUCAGGUUGCAUCCACAUUUCCUGGCUGUGUCUGGUACUGAAAAGGAUAAGACAUAAGCUCGUUGCUGUCCCUGUGCUUUAAAAUAAGAUCUGUUAUCAGUGAGCUGUCUUCAUCUAUGAUUAAUGAUCUACGGAGUCGGGAGAGAAGCUGUGUGGGAAGAAGCUAAAAGACCAGUUUGUGAGGGCCAGAACAGAGACCAAGUUACAGGAAAUCCUCUCAGACCACUCCUUUACCCACCCGCCAUGCUCCACCACCUGCUCCUGGUUCUUGAAACAGGCCUUUGCCUACCCCUUAUCUGGGGCUGUCCCCUGUCCAUCCUGCCCUGCAGCAUGGAGGACGGUCUUAAUAAAUUAUUA